rnacentral:piRNA from 1 species
UUGGUGUUACAACAGUCUGGUCCUC